GGAGAAUGAAUGGAUUUGUCCUGUGUGCUUCUGUAUAUUUGCCUAGUAGCCGACUGACUUCUGAAGGCGGUUUUCACAGCGGUUUGGCUUUACGUGCCUUUACAUAGCCUUACAUACGUAUAAAUUGUUCCUCUGGCCAUUGCACCUCCUGUUGAUUCAUUGAACAAUUUGUGGGAUGCCUUACUGUAUGUCAGUCACUUCCCUGUAUGAGGAAGAAAAAGAUGAAGCCUAUUCUUGUUCCUGGAAACAUUCGCAGCCCCAUAGAGGAAACAGAAUUGCCAUACAGUAUGACGAAUGCUAAGAAUAACACAAGGGCAUCGAAACCAACUCUAGAGUGAUAUGGGUAGUGGAGCAAUGAGUGAUCCAACCAAGAUUUAUGUAGAAGGAUGCUAAUUGCAACAAUAAGUGUUACAUUUAAAAGAGAAAAACUGGAAACAACUCUAGGAUCCAACAAUGGAGAAAAUGGUUAAAUAAUGCAUUAUUCCAGUUGGAGAUAUAAAGCAGAGAACCAUCAUUCUCAAAACUGUUCUGAGAGUCAGCAUGUCACCUCUUUCACUCCUCAAGCCUUCAGAAUUCCAAUGCUAAACAUUUCUCUGGCAUCUAAGGAACAAAACGUUCAGGAUAGAAAGGCUGUGAUACUACCCUGCUAGUAUCAAUCCACAUGCACCAGGUCCUGCUGAAGUGUUAAAUAGGUUGAUACAGGGAUGGAAUAAAACAAUAAAGUGUCUGAGAGAACUUCUGAGGAAAUAAUACUGUGCACCGCUUCUAGGGAAGGUGGCCCCUAGCUCUGCAUGACUAACAGCAGCCAUCACAGACACCAUGGCACAAGCAGCCCAAAUACUCAGGGAGACCCCACAUUGAGUGAGUUGUAUUUUAAUGCCCCUUCAGGAGAAACAAAUAUGCCUGUACCUAUUUUGAUACUGAAUAACAAAUUUGUUCCAUGGAAAUGUCCUAUUACUCAUUGA
rnacentral:lncRNA from 1 species